rnacentral:pre_miRNA from 14 species
UAUUAGGCUAUACUCUGCAGCCAUUGAAAGACCCCCAGAGCGGGGAGACCCUCACUCAAGUCUCGGGAUGAUGCGACCCCCCAAGAACUCACGUGAGACC